GCUGUGAUGGCCGAGAGGUUAAGGCGUUGGACUUGAAAUCCAAUACCCCUGCAUAGGUUCAAAUCCUGUUCACAGCG